rnacentral:rRNA from 1 species
CGCAGCCGCGGUAAUUCCAGCUCCAAUAGCGUAUAUUAAAGUUGUUGCAGUUAAAAAGCUCGUAGUUGAAUUUCGGGAUCAGUAUGUUGGUCGUGCUUCGGUACGUACUGUCAUUACUGGUUUCUCCCUUCUGAAGAACCUUGAUGUCAUUAAUUUGGUGUCUUGGGGAAUCAGGACUGUUACUUUGAAAAAUUAGAGUGUUUAAAGCAGGCAUACGCUUGAAUACAUUAGCAUGGAAUAAUGAAAUAGGACGUUUGAUUCUAUUUUGUUGGUUUCUAGGAUCGACGUAAUGAUUAAUAGGGAUAGUUGGGGGCAUUAGUAUUCAAUUGUCAGAGGUGAAAUUCUUGGAUUUAUUGAAGACUAACUACUGCGAAAGCAUUUGCCAAGGAUGUUUUCAUUAAUCAAGAACGAAAGUUAGGGGAUCGAAGACGAUCAGAUACCGUCGUAGUC